CCUUUAUUGAUUAAUCUGUAUGCUGCUUGGGGAACAUUUUCAAGUUCGCCCUGUUCCCUGCUCUGAUUGCCCCCGAGCGGAAGUGCCUAGAGCUGCGCACAGCUCUCGCUGCCAGCAGGGUUGACUGUGAUCCCAGGACAGCUCUUCUUGGGUGUCUCUUUUCCUGGUUAUCUCUAUGAAACUUCUAAUUGCUUUGUCAUUUUUCCUUAUUUCUAGUUGUAUUAGGGAGUUAUGAGAGUCCUUUUAAUUACUUUCACCAAAAUCUCCUCUUUUUUUUCCCCAAAAAUGCCCUUAGGCAUGGAGUCCUCCACACUCUGUUCCGCACAAAGUUGUUUUCCUCAGGGAGAACUGUAAAGCUCUUUGUCUUUAAGUCUGGCCUCUCCUCUCCGCAGCCCCUCCCGGGGCAGAACCUCUGCGGUUCCGCACAGGAGCUGGAGGCAGAGACCGCGGCCUGCGUCUUGCGGAGUGACAGCUCUGGUUGACCGAUCAUAGAAUCUUGAAUAUGAGUUGAAGAUGCAUUUAAAUGAGAAGCUAACGCAUGAAGCAAGAACGGAAAGCAGAAAGAAGAUAGCUCAAGAGGACAGGAGGGGGAAACAAUCAAAACUACAGGAGAGAGGCACUGUGUCCGUAGCUGUUACUGAGCAUCCUGUUUACAGCUGGUCUCCUUAUAAACCUGGAGAGUCCUGGGAUUGCUGCUGCCAACCAUAGGCCAAGAAUGUCAAAUCCAUGCAGACUUCAUACUCUACGUCAAAAUGCAUUCUUGAUGUUUCAUGACUUGAAAUGUUGAAAGAAAGAAUCUGUAACAUACUACAGAAAAACUCCACCAUUAAACAAAAAACUCAUCAACUUUUGGUCUAUAUUAGUAUAUUAAUAAAAAUCAGAGGGCCAAAUAUUAUUUAUCAUCCAGGAUAAAGCCCAUCUGUGAUUCCAUGCUUCUUAUAUACUACAGAUGUGAGUAAUUCAGAAGCUGAUCAUUCUUGAAGAGAUAUACAUUAUGUUCCACUUUAAUUAAUAUAGAUUUUUUUCUUUGUUCCUUCUUCUCUUUACUUUUCCUUUGAAAAAUACUCAUGAGUCUCAGCUAUCAUCCAGGCACUGUGAUGGAUGUUGCAGAUGGACCUGUAUGUAACCAAGAAAGCCUGAUGCAUUCCUUGCUCUCACGGACCUUAACAUCUGGGGAGAUGGCCAGUUAUUGAAGAAAUCCUCAUACAAUCCCAAUUGUCAGCAUUAGAUAUUAAAGUACAAGGAGAUAUACAUUAACUUGUGAGUCAAGCUUCCCUAAGGAAA